ensembl:lncRNA
CUGAUUUAACAUGUUACUGAAUCACAAUCUUGCCAAAAAGUAGUGGAUGUUUUAGUCUUCUUCCAUUCAAGUUGACAGUAUACAGAUACUAUUAGCUAUUAGUUGCUUGGUUGCCAAAAUGACCACCAAGGGAGUUGAUCUGCGUUCAAAUGACUUUGUAAAUAUAUGUGCUCAUAUUACUUAAAUUGCACUAACGACAUGGGCUCAGUUCCCAGGGAACAUGUAGAUUGAUAAAACACCCAAAUUCACUACAAGUCACUUUGGAUGAGAGCAUCUACCAAAUAUUAACCAGCAACUCAAACAACAACAACAACAACAACAACAACAAAAAACCUGCACGUAUUUUGGGGAUGCUUAAUGUUUAUUAAGCAUUCUGACAAAGAAAUAAGUCCGGGUUGGGUUGGCCCACAUACCCUCCUUUCACAUCCCUGUAUUUUACAGCAAGUCAAUACCAAUUAAUCUUUACAGAGUAAUCCAGCACAUUGCAUUCAUAAUCCACUCUCAGCCUUAAGCAUUUUAUUGUGCACUGCAGCGUUAUCCAUCUAUGCGUUUCCAGUAGCCAUCCCGGGAGGCAAACAAAUAUAUACAGCACUUAUGGCACGAUUCCAUUAAUGCACGACUUUAUUAAAGCAUUUUAUAUACUGAAGAAACACUUAAAAAUAAAUAAGUAAAACAGAAUAGUAAUAAAAACAAUUUACAGCGAGAAGAGCUGCAUAUGAUGAAUUUUCCCUUUUAUUCAUGCAUUUGUUGACAUAGGAACAAAACAAUGGGAGCGUGCAAACACUUAGUAUAAUCAAGUGCUCGCCCCAGGACAGGAAUACAAUUCCUUAAUGCCUUGCUUUCCAUUUAAAUUUUACACCAUUUAUAACCAACGAGUAAUGCUUUUUUGAGCGCUCGUGAAUUGCACCCGCUAAUGAACGUAUUUUUUAAAUGUGCGCUUUAUGAAUUUAAUCCACACAAACAGAGACACGCGCACAAACUGUGGGAAGAGAAACAUGCGGAGGCCCGCGCAGAAGAUUCAAGGCACGCGCGGUCGGCGGAGAAGAUCACCGACUUCUAAUGUACAUCCUGUGGGACGCUGUAUACUGCCGCCACGUGAGCCGGGUAG